rnacentral:lncRNA from 1 species
CUUUUUUUUUUUUUUUUUUUUUUUAUAAUCCGUGAGGGACUUAAAAAGAGGAUACAUGAUGGUCCUGUAAUUUUUGGUAACUAGGAGUAAGUAUAUAAUAGUGAGAGGAGGGCUUGCCUCCUCAAGGCACCUGUCCUUAAUUUCACGAGGACGAAGCUCAUGUCCGCUCAAAGGUCACUUUCCAGCGUCCCAAUCAAAGUGGUUCGUUCACCCCCUCCCCCUCCCCCAGCCUUUUAGUCUUUUUUCUUUUAUGGUCGUCACUCAAUUCUUCUUCCUCUCAUUAUACUCACCUCUGCUCCUCAGUCAUCUCAAUCAAAUGUAACCUCGCACCUUUUUCCUUUUAUACAUUUUUUUUUUAAAUUUCUUUGAAUUAUUCUGGGCUCUGGUAAAAUAGCACCGUCUCUAUUUUAUUUUGAGUAUGAAAAGAUCAUCAUUAGUAUCUUCAAAAGGUAGAAGCUUGAGGAGGGAGAAUGGGAAGACGAACAAUGAAGAAGUGGUUGUGAUCGAGUGGGAGGUGAGGCCUGGUGGUCUGCUUGUUCAGAAGAGAGGAGCUGGUCCUGUAAGCUCUGCUGGUCCAAUGAUCAAGAUCAAGGUUUCCCACGAUUCUUAUCACCACGAUGUAACUGUUCCAUCUCAGUCAACUUUCGGUAAUUACGUACUGUUUUCGCCUGACCAUCAUUUGUUAUUUUUAGUGUAGCUGUUCUUUCCUUUUAGUGUGGCGUUCCCGUGCAUACGUGCUUCGUCCCUCGGUUCAAUUUUUUUCUCAUCUUUCUUUACUUACAUUUUGAGAAAAUUCUUACUUCCUUCCUUCAGCAGACUUUCAUGAGCGUUCUUCAUGAUUUGAAAUCUCAUUUUCAGUAUUGAAGUGUGGUGUUUUUAGCCAAAAUUAAAAAUUUUACUAGAUUCUUUGCCCCCCGAAAUUGUCCUUACUUUUUCCUCUGGGAUCUUGAAAUUAAGAAACCCAAGAUUCUGUCCUUUUUUUUUUCUUCCUUUCCUUUGGUUGAUAGGGGUUUUUUGGGGAAGUGAUUAUGUUUGCAAUUCUUAUUUCUGUAUCUCUAUAUUGAAUAAAAACUACGCGUGCUCUAAUUGAAGGGGAUCUAAAACGAAUUCUUGCCAGUAAAACUGGCCUAGAGCCUAUGGUGCAGAGGCUGUUGUUUAGAGGAAAAGAGAAAGAUGAUGAUGAAUGUCUGCAUAUAGCGGGCGUAGAAGACACGUCAAAAAUAAUACUUCUGGAGGAUCCGGCGAGCAAAGAGAGAAAAUUUGAGGAGAUGAGGAAACACCAGGAUCCAGACAAAGCAUAUGAAGCUGUUGCCAAUGUUAGAGCAGAGGUCGAUAAACUCUCUGACAAGGUCAGUGUUUAUUUUUGUGCAGAAAACCUUUUGUUUUCAUUUAUAGAACUGAAUUUCUGUGUGUUCUGUGCUUUAGGUUGUUGACCUGGAGAAAGCAGUGCAAAGUGGCAAUGAUAUUGCGGAGAAGGAAUUUGUAGUCUUGACAGAACUGCUGAUGAUUCAGUUGCUUAAACUGGAUUCUAUUGAGGCAUAUGGAAAAGCAAGAGAACAGAGGCGGAUUGAGGUUAGUCGCAGCCUGCAAUUGUGUUUCACUAAUCAAGUUAAUUAGCUUCUUUGAUUCCAAUGGUCAUUUAUGGGGACAUAUCACUUAGAUUUUGAAUUUGCAUGUCUUCCAGUGCUGAUGAGUUGUCGCUAUUUACUACUGCUACUUUCCAAGUUUCCUUUGGACACAAUAAUAUGAUCUUCCAUAGCAGGGAGUUAAAUUUACCUUUUGCUUAGUUCAUCCAGCCUCGAAAUAAAAUAAUUUCUCCCACGAGAAUCUUUAUUAUCAUCUGAAAGUUGCUUAUCGCAUUUUAAUCGCUUACAGGUGCAUCGCGUUCAAAGUUUUGUGGACAAGCUAGAUAAUUUGAAGGCAAGAAAUUGUAUUCCCUUCAGCAACUGUGGCAAUGCUUCUUUUGUGACUGCCAAAUGGGAGACCUUUCAUUCUGGAUUUGGAAGCCUUACUGCACCAAAACCCUUCCAUCAUUCGCCGAAAGUUUUUGAGGACUGGGAAUCAUUUGACUAACUCGAGAGAUGGUUUCUAUCCUUGAGUUCCCAGAGACGGGGUGAAGGCUGCUGCAACAUUUUUCAGUCUGAAAUCCGAUCAGCAUAUCCUGUCACUUUUUGGUUCUUGUAAGAUGCUAUUUCCCAGGGAUCAUCUGCUAGACUGUUUCUUAUUCUGUGAGAUCAUGAAUUUUGCCAUCCUACAAUGUGUUCUUUAACUGGUCGGAGCCUGCUUGCCUUGUGCCAAAGACAGCUGCAUUCUGUGCAUACUUUUUUGCUAAUGAACUACUGUAAACCAAGGUUGGAACUGUCGAGGCUUUUCUUUUAAUUCACUUAGAUCGUACUUGUACCAACAUACAGUAUAUUAUUUGGAUAAAACAGAAACCAGAUUCCGAUGAGAAUACCUAGUACGGAUCCAUGUGUCCUUCGCUAAACAAGAUACACGAGCACAAAGAAGUGAGAACACCAAUGUUGAAUUGGUAAAGAGGAAAAUAGAGACGAGCUAGGGAUAUUCUUCUGAGGACAGCUAUGCAGCCUGUUAAACAGAGAAACUCUUUGCCUCUUUCAUCCUGGACUCGAUUAAUACACAUGGCGAGGACUGAGGAGGAAUAAUAACAACAAAAAUAAAAGAAAUAAUACCAACAAUAAUAUAUUAGUCGCAUAUCAUAAUAAAGAAAUAAUACCAACAAUAAUAUAUUAGUCGCAUAUCAUAAUAACGAGGGGUAUCAAAUUUCACUUUCUGAAAACUCACCCUUCUCAAGAGAUAAUAAUAAUAAUAAUAAUAUGACUCCUUAUAUCUUAUUCCCUCCCUUUUUUUAUAACUGACGUUUAAAGUUUUACACACCAAUUAAGAAAAGUUUUUCAUUGUUUAAAUCUAUACACUACUUUCCUUUUGUACCCUCAUUAAUUAUCCAAUUCACCCAUAUUUUCUCUCACUAGAGUAUUAAAUGGUACUGUUUUACUAAGCCAAAAGCAAUGCAAACUAACUCCCACCAAUUGUGAAAAGAGAGAUAAAAGGGUAAAAUUGUGAAAAAAUAAUUAAUGCUGCAUGGGGAUAAUAAAACGACAGAUAAAAGUACUUAAGAGCAAAUUUCUUAAACGUCAGUUAUAAAAAAAGGGAGGGGGUAUUUAUAAACCAGACCGCCCCGAUAGACAAGUCUUAACACCUUCUAUUAAUAAACAAGACACAAAAAAUUUCCUAAUCCUAAUAGGAGUAAAAUAGUAGUAGUAAUUCUUAAACAGUAAAACUAUUAUAACUGACAAUUAUUAAAACCUUAACUUGACAUCUUUCCUCUCUCUUCCUCUUAACUGUAUGAAAAUUAUCAAGCCUUCCUAGUACUCUUCAUAUCUUAGGGAAGAUAAAUAGUUGGGCAGACAAACACAUUUUGUGAUUUUAAUUCCUUGUCUACUACCUAUUCAUCGAGAAUGAUUGAUGGCGUCUGUUCAUAAAUAUGAGAGAGAGAGAGAGAGAGCAAUAAAACGAGAAAGACGUGUCUACUGGUAUGAAUCAAUGCGGUAACAUUAAGAGGGAGUAAUGCGGUGAAUUGCAAUCGGAUCUUAUUAUUAAGUGGUAGUAAUAAUUACCAGUCGACCUUUCAUGUUUCCUCUUCAGCGAUAGAGGCGUGAGUUUUUUUUUGGCUAAAAUAACACUUUUUCUAAAAAAUAUUUUCAAUAUAAUUCACUUUUAAACUUUAUUCCCAUAAUGAUGUUAUUAUUGCCAUCUAAUUAUCCUGAUUUCUACGUUGGAUAACAAGAAAGGAAAGUUUUGAUCUAGUUUAUAGUGUCCAGCAUGAACUAAAAUUUUUAAUUUUUUCAAAACAUAGAGGCACAAGAAGAUUGCAUAACUUUGAUAAUUUUCUUAUAAUUAUUUAAAAUAAAUUCUACCAUUAUUGACCUUACUAUGAUUAGUCUCUACAUUUUUCUUGAAAUGUAUCAAACCUAUUGCAUAUAUUUUUUCAAAAAUUAAAUUUCAAAAUUUCAAAAAUUGCAACAAAAAUUGUAAGUAAUAACAAGAAAAAGAUACAAAAACUUCAAGGGUAUCAUACUUGUUUAUAUUAUCCUUCCUACUCGUUGAAAAGAACUUUUACAAGAUGUAAUAAAACUAAAAUUUUCAAAUUUUCAAUUGCAAACUAAAAAUUGCUAGAUUAUUAUAUAAGUAAUCAAAGGCAAUGGCAUCCCACUACUUGAAAAAAAGUCAUGUUGUAAAGGGAAAAAUGACAAAAACAAGCUUUUAUUAAACUUUAAAAAUGCAGUGAAAUUCUGAACAUCUAUAUCUUAUGCAAAGAACUAAAAAACAAGAUAUUUUGAACUAAAAAAAAAACUUAGGCAUAGUGUAAUUACAAUAAAUUUGCAAUUGAAAAAUGUCUUACAAUCAUUGCCAAUUGCAAGCAAAUUUGAAAUAUUUAAGCCAACACUCUUGAAGCUUCCUUAAGUGUUCGCAAAGAUGGAAUGAAUAUACGAAUGUCAUUAGACAAUCAACUAAUCCUGUGUUCAGGCACUUCAAUAAUGCUAAGUUCAGACACAUCAUUGAUCCUAUCUCCAGAAUAGUAAGCUCUAUUUGAUCACUGCAAGUCACAUAUGGAGAAUGAGAAAAACAAAAAGGUAUCACAAGUUAGAAGUAAAAUAAUAGAAAACUAAAAUCCAAAAAACGUGCUUGGAUGUUUUAUGCUUAAAUUGCAAGCUUAGAGUCUAGAGAUGUGAUCAUGUGAUAGAGAUGCAUUAUAUCUGAACAUGCUCAUGUAUGUGGUGGAAAUCAAACAUAUUGAGCAUGAAUCUAUGUUGUUAUGUAGUUUUUCUCCUAGACAUUUUAUCAAACACAUGGUAUGAGAAAUCAUUUGUUAGACAAUUAAUAUUCAAAAAUUUUUUGAACGCCAUAGUAAUGUUCCAAAACUACAUAAUAGAAAAGAUAAGAGAAUAAUGUUUGUUUACCUUGAUAUUAUCAAGGAUGAUAAUAAAGUUUUGGAUACUGUUAAUAUAAAUAUUAACUUCUCAAAAUUAUGUUUGACAAGGAAAAGAUAAUGAAAUGAAAAAAUAUGGGAGAGAGAGAAUUGAGAAAGAUAUUAGAUGUAAAAAAGAAAUAGAGUGUAUUUCUAUCUUUACUCUAACACAUGUACAACCUAUGUGGCAAAAAAAAAGAUCAUAAAGGUAAUAAAUUUUAAAAUUAUGUUACUUUGGGUAUAUGUUUUAGAAGGUGAGUUUUUUGGCAAUAAACUCUAGAGGCGUGGUUCCAAAGCUUGCGAGAAAUUAAUGCCUUUUCAUUGUAGGUUAAAGGGCGUGAUUUUUGGACAGAGCCUUAAAAUAGAAUUUAAACCGCCAAAACCCUCGUCAUCGUCCUCAAAACCUCAAACAGCCCAAACGGAGGGAGCGGCGGAGUAACAUUUAAAUCUUAAUCAUGGGCAACCUCUCCGACGUCGUAUACCCCGAACUCAAAGCUACCCAAAAGUUGUCCUCCACGGGGAACAACUUCCUCAUUUGGAAGCUCAAACUCGCCUUCGUCCUCACCGACCAUCAACUCCCCCACCUCCUCAGCCCAACCAGGGAGGACCCCAAAUGGCACGACAAAAACGACGCCGCCAAGCUUCUCAUCCUCAGGACUCUAGACAACGAUCUCCUCCUUGAAUUCUCCGACUACCCCACCCCUUCAUCCAUCAUGGAAGCCCUCCUCCACCGCUUCGAUAAUAGGCUGAAAGCCUUCAGAAUUCUCCUGCUAAGGCGCUACAGGGACCACCGGAUGGCCGCGGACGCCCACAUUUAUCAGCAUGUGUUCAGGAUGCGGGCUAUGGCGAAAGAACUCGAGUAUGCAGGGAUCAAGAUUCCUGAUGAGAUGCAGGCUGUGGCUUUGUUGAAUAGCCUGCCGGAUGAUUGGGAUGAUGAUGUGGAACGGUUGGCAAUCGGGUUGGAUGGAGCUUCCACAGAAAAGUUGAGUUUUGAUUGUGUGAGCCGGCGGUUGAGGAUGGUUAGCGAUGUUAGAUCGUUGAAAAAGUUAAACAAUGCGAAGAAGUUGAAGAACAAAUUCAGGGGUAGUUGUUAUAAUUGUGGGAAACGAGGGCACCACCAAUCAGAUUGCCCUGAGCAAGGUAUAUAAUUUAUCUUGGUAUGACUGUCAAUUUUGUUUUAAAACUUACUUAACUCAUGAUGUAAAUGAAAUUUCUUUCGAGAAUGAAUAGAAUGGCUUUGCAAUCUAUUUCUAUCUUUGGUGUCGAUUUAGUGCGCAAUGGUUUUGGACUCGGAAUGCAGUGCAAUUUAGUGGAGUUUCUCUUACUUUUAUAUGGCUUUGUCGAGCUGCUUAAUCUAGUCCUUUUAGUAGCUUUUUUGAUAAAGUUGAAGUGCUUAAUUGCUUCCAACCUAUAUAUGAUGGACUGGAUGAAGAUGGUUUAACUCCCUGAAAAUUGAACUUGUGAAUACACUUGAUAUAGCCAGAGAUAAAGGAAUAAAUUAUUUAGAUAACCUGUUGUGAUUGGAUACAUUCAGCCGAAAUGAACCCCCUUUAAUUUUCUUUGUACUUGUCCAUGCUCGUUAACCGGGAAUUUCCUUGUCUGCAUCACCCAACUUCCUUAAGCUUGUAUAGUAAGGUUAUUGUGGAUGUCUUCACCCCUUUGGAAGUCCUAGCCCUUCCUCUUUUUGCUGAUAUAUAACUAUUUUGGAGUCAAUGACCUCUUAAAGUUGUUUUAUUUAUUUAUUUUUUGGUGCUGUAAAUUUGGCAUUCUCACUCUCUCAAUGCAGGUUCGUCCAAGCAGAAAAGUUCUUCUUCAGAGAUUUUCACAAUCCCUGGUGCAUCUGCAACUCUAUCUGAAAUAAUAUAUCCUCAAUUGAAGACCUAUUUAAAAAUUAACUGCAAGGGAUCAAGAUUUUCUAUGUGGAAGAGAGAACUUUUUGAUGUCCUCGAAGAUAACCAAGUUGAAUAUGUCCUCAAAGACCUAAAACCUUCUGAGCCUACAGAUGCUGCAUCUGAGGUUGAUGCUCAGCUUUAUGAUAAGUGGCAUGCAGAUGAUUUCACGUGUCGCCACCUUAUCCUUGGAGCAAUGGACGAUGAUGUCUUCCUUAGCUUCCAUGACUAUCCAACUGCCAAAGCUCUUCUAUAUUCUCUUGAAGCAUUCUUUAAUUCUCCUUCCACUGCUCAAAAGUUGGUUCUGCUCAAGAAGUAUAUGAACAAUCAUAUGUCAGAUGAUACACUGAUUAUGGAUCACAUUUUAAAGAUGGACUUGAUGGCACAUAAGCUGAAAAUAGCUGGUGUCAACGUCCCUAAUGAGAUGCAAUCUCUUGUUUUGCUGGACAGUUUACCAGAGUCAUGGGGGGACACUCUAACAUUGUUGAAUAUAAACAUGACUUUGGAUAUGGAGAAUGGUUUGAGCCUGGAUAAUGUAAGAAAGAGGGUGAGAGAUGCUGGUCAGAUGAAAGAACUGAUGGCUCAAGCAGAUGACUCAUUGUUCGAUGGCAAUGGCAAUAGAAAUACAAAGAGGGUUUUCAGGGGCAAAUGUUUUUCUUGUGGACGGCCAGGUCAUUACCAAUCUGAUUGCCCUGACCAAGGUAUGUGUCAGCAAAUUCAUAAAGAAGUUUAAAUUAGACAUUUAUUUCUAUAAUCACUCACAAGGUGUGCUUGGCUUUGGCAUUCUAUGUCUGCAUCAUCUUAAGUUCUAUGUGUACUGUUUGCCUGUUUCGUAGUUCAAGAAAAUUACGUGGUGUUCUUGUGUAAUUGAAAGAAUAGGAAUUGAUCCAUUAUCUUGGAGUCUCUGCAUAAGCUAGGAAGUAGUUGUUUGCUUCCAUCUAUGAAGGUUAGGCAUUUGUGUUUAUCUAAUUUAAGUAGGAGAAGAAUUCAAAUCGAAGACUUCCAUUCUUCAUACUUUCAGAGAUGAGUAUUAGGAAUUUUCUCUUUUCAGCAUUUUAUUCCCCCCACCACCACCCCCCCGGGCGCCCCGCCUCCCUUUUCCUUGGGUGGUCGGAGAUUGGUUGUGAAGGGGGCCAGGAGAUGGGAUUGUACAGGCUCAAACUGUUGUCCUCGUCUUUCUAGAAUUCAGUUGAGAGAUUUUGAUUGUGGAUCCCAUUUACGGUUUCAGAAUUCAGAGUUAAUUACAUUUCCAUCAUUUGCUUUCGAAGUUUUUUUUUAUGCUUGUUUGUGUCUCUGCUUCAGAUAUCACAGGCCAGUGGAUCCCAGCACAUUUUGCUAUGUGCUUGAAACAACUUCUUAUUUGGUCCUAUUAAUUUAAGAAACAUCCAGUGCUUUUUAAGGUAUACAGGCAUGGUAGAAUGUAUAUCCCCUGCCGAAUUUGUGACUUUAGAACUAAAGCUCCAUUUUUACCAUUGCCUAUGAUGGCUUUUGAAACUAGUGCAGAACUUGAAAACUAGAAUCUCCCAGAACAUGUGUAUUUCGUUUACAGAUUGGUAGGGUUUCUGGUGAGAAUUUUGCAGGCCAUUUUACUUAUUUCAAUUUUAUCUUGGAAUAUGAUCAUGUUUUAAUCUCUACGUUCUUCUAUUAUGCAUGAAUUUCAGCCUUUGGCUUUGUCUUGCAAUGUAGGUAAAAGGUGAAGUACAUGGCUGGUAGAUGUUCAAGUGCCCUGUAAAUGAGAAAAUCUACUCCUUCAGAUUUUCUCUAUCCUUUUCUUGUGCAGUACAUUUCAAGAGAUGAUUUUGCAAGCAAAUGAGAAAAUGCAAUAGUAGACAGUUUACACUAAGGGUAUGUUUGGUUCCCCAUGGAAUUGGGGUUUAGAAUUGGAAUUGGGUCCUAAAUUCCAAAUCUGUUGUUUGGAUACUGCUUCGCUCACAGAAUUAGAAUUGAAUCUGAAUUCUAUAGAAACCUAAUUCCAUGAAUUGAAUUCUUUACCGGAACAAAAGAAUUCUAAUUCCAAUUCCACAACUAAGCGGGUCAUACGCGGAUCUAGUAUGGAUCAAAAAUUAAAAUUGGGUCAAGGAUAUUGGCACCCCUCUCUUCCUAUCUAACUCACCGUGUUUCCUCAGCUGCUAGUGCUCUGCUCUCCACCAUCACUUCCACCUGCAACCCUAAUAUUAUCGUAUUAGAGAAGUGGACGGUAGAGAAAGGAGCCAUUAUGGCUAAAUCUUUCUAGUCUUGAGAUUCACUACUGUCAAAGAUUAACCAUGAUUCCGGCCCGAGGGAUUGAGGUUCAUUGGUUCACUCAAAAAGUGUUGGCAAUCCGUGAAGAAUUUCAGAACAGGGUUCGAGGAGAGGAUUUCGACAAAAUCUGCCACAAUAUUCCUUCAGUAAGGAUCCUUCCACCUCUAAAUCGUAUUUUGAUACAGAUAUGUCUUGAACAAAAGCUUUAAUUCUGGAAGCCUUUCAUUCAGUGAUGUAUUUUUCUCCGCCUUCUUCUAUUUCCCAUUGUUUUUGUUUAACUCCAUUUUAUAGCUUCAUAUAUCAGAAUAUAUAGUGAGUACUACACUUUUUAUCAUUUACCUGCUCCUUCCUUCCUACUCGAAUCCAUGUUCUGAAUACUGUGAGAUCCAAGCUGCUUUUCGUAUUUACUACUGCAGAUGAUGCCAAAGAAUCUGUAAAGAAGGGAAUUCGCUUGAGGUGAAAACCUUCUGAAGUUUUUUGACCAUGGGCUUAUUUUUUGCUUAUCUCUGCUGCAGAUUGCUGUUAGUUAUCUUGAUAAUUGAUAUUUUAACCUUUCUGGUCAAGUUGUGCAUUUCUUAAUGAUUGAAGGCCUGCUUUUGUUUCUGCUUCCUCUCACUAAUUUGUUCUAUUGUGACUGGAGUGGGUUUGAAUUCAGUUAGUUAAAUUGAGUCCAAGUUGCUUCCUCUCACUAAUUGAAUUGAGGGUUGAUAUCAAAGUGGGUGGCAUAUGAUUCUAGGUAGUCAAUGAAUUGUUUCUUGGUGGCGUAAUCAGGGUAAUAAUCAGGGAAGGGGAACUUAUUAGCUAUCCCGAAUAACAAGACAGAAAUGAAACCAUAUCCAUUUUAUCUUUCAUAUCCAUUUCUGUUCAGGUGGACUCGUUCUAGUUUUGUUUGGCUCAUUUCUUGUCUUGUUCAUCAGAUGUCUAAUGACAAAAGAAGUUCCUUUGCACCUGUUUCUCUGGCUCAGUAUAUCUGAUGCUGUCUUCCAUACAAACAAAAACUUGGUCCUUAAAUUAAUCCAGGAUCAAUAGAAUCUUCCCUUGUACUACUAUUAUAUAUCAUUUGUCUAAAUUAUACUACUGCUUCAUAUGGAUUGCUGGUGGUAGUAUUUUAGCUUCACUCUGAUGGAUUUUCUGAAAAAGUUUAAAUGAAUCAGAAAUAAGAAAUUUUUGGGUUCAAUUCCACCAGAAUUUGGUUUAUUUCUUGGUCGGAAUUCUGAAUUUUUACUGGAUUGUUACUGGAAAUGAUGGAAUUGAUGACCCACCCCACUAGUUACAAUAUGAUGUAGUUUUGCAGCAUGAUAUUUAUACCAGUUUUCUUCAUUGAAAGUGGUACUGAAUUCAAGAGAACCAAUAGUGCAGCAAACUUUGGCUACCGGACAAUAACUUCGUACAACCAUAUAAAAAUGUCGAUAGUUUUCUAGAAACUAAUUAAGUUUCAGCUUUUGUUGGUGGCUGGAAGAUUCUCCACAGGCUUUUGCUGAUGAAGGUGGAGUUCUCCACAGGCUGCAGGAAGACUUGGCUUUUGGUGAAGGUGGUAGCGCAGAAGUUGUCCCCAAGGUGCUUGCAUCUCCAUGUAGGAGGAGGAGAGGUCUGCCUGACAAAUUUGCUGCAACAUAUCAAAAAGAUUAGUAGAGAAAAUAUAAUUUCUGCACGUAGUCCCUUUGGAUGAUUAUAGUUAAGUGGGGAACAAUUUAUAGCAUUUCUUGGGAUCUAAUGGUUUUUUUUAAAUUGCUUUGCAUUCUUUCUCAAAAUUAAGGAGCUUUUGUAUAAGUGCUCUUCCUGUAUUCUAUUUAGCAAGUACUUGACUGUGUGUGAAUAGGUCAUCUGACAGUCUUAAGUUUUGUAUUUUCCAACAUCUCCUCCAAAGAAGCUGGUAAAUAUUAGUACAAAGGUUCGGUCGUGUAUUUAUCAUAUUGUGUUACAAAAACAAGAAGCCUCGGGAAUUUGUCUUCAUGAUUGAGAUCUAUUCUACAUUUUUUCAUUUUGUGGUGCACAGUUCUUUAUUCGGUAGAGUCAUAAAUUUUACCCUACUCGAUUAUCACCAAAAAAGUCAAUUUGUAUAUUUUGUCUUCUUUUUCACUAUUUUCUUGGGUCAGGUAAUUUGUGAGUAAUUAACUGUCCGGUAUUCUACCAUGUUUUAAGAAAUAUGCUAGUGUCAUUGGGGAUUUACUUUUACGGGGUUGAGGUCCAGUUUUGGUUGGAUGCCAAUAUCUAUACCAUACGUUGAACAAAAGAAGGCAGUCAGAUUGACAUGUCUCGCUAAUGCUGUGCUUAGCACAACCUACGUCUGGAAAUGGUCACCAAAGAAAUUGAUACAAGAGUGGGAAAAAAUAAAUUAUUAAAGGCGCAAAUUGGUUUUUACUUUUAAAUCUUUAGUAAAAAUUAGCUAAAUAUAAAGAAAAAAAAUUAUUAUAUAGAAAAAAGAAAAAAAAGAAAAAUUUUAUGUAAGUAAAUGUUUCAUGAAAACAAUUCUAAUUCCUAAUGAAUUCUUCUCUCAUGCAAACAAAGGAUUUGGAAUUCCAAAUAAAUUCCGUAUCAAUUCUAUGCAUUUCCCAAACGAAAGAAUUGGAAUGACUUGGAAUUCCAAUUCAUAGAAUUCUAAUUCUAUAGAAUUUCAAUUCUAAUUCAAUUCUAAUUCUAUAAAACCAAACGCACCCUAAAAGGUUUCAGUCGAAUGCAACUGUAUUCUAGUCUCUAGUUGUCAAAUUUGGUGUUGCUAUGUGUGACUGUCAGAAAUUUAUACAGCAGACCCUGCACAUCGGACAUCCAUUAUUUCGCUUUUGCUCAAUUUUUUGGUGGCAUCCUUUGUCAAAGUGAAUUUAUAAAUUUUAACCCGCCGUCUCGCUGUCUGGUUCCAGGAAACCUUCAAGGAAAAAGAAAGUUACUCCAUUAGAAACAGUGAUGUGUUACAUUGGUAAAUAUUAGCUGUCAAAGUCAAUGACAAAUAUGUAACAUAUCAUUGAUAAACCAAACAAAAAGUAGAGUUGUUAACACGUCAAGUCGAGUUUUUGGCUUUUGAGCUCAGCUCAUUAAGUUGUCAAGCCGAAUUUGAGUGUGGCUGGAUUAUUCAACAAGUCAAAAAUUGUAUUCAGACUCGAUUUAUUAAAAAAAUUUUGACCUGUAUGAUACAAAUGAAUCAAGUUUGAGCUUGAGAAAGUUAAAAUGUGUUUGAAUAUCUUAUACAAUAUUAAAUGGCUUUUGAGCUCAGCGCAUUAAGUUGUCAAGCCGAAUUUGAGUGUGGCUGGAUUAUUCAACAAGUCAAAAAUUGUAUUCAGACUCGACUUAUUAAAAAAAUUUCGACCUGUAUGAUACAAAUGAAUCAACUUUGAGCUUGAGAAAGUUAAAAUGUGUUUGAAUAUCUUAUACAAUAUUAAAAAAAUUAACCAAUUUAAUUAACCUAUUAAUUGAGAAAAAUUUCUCAAAAUGUAAGAUGUUCGGUUCCAAAUUUUUUUUUUUAAAGACUAAAUCCUAAACAAUCAAGAGAAUCUAAUUCUACAUAAUUAUUAAGAAAAAUUAGACACACUAAAUUGAAUAAAUAUAUAAAUGAGCCUAAAUAAACAUAAAUGAACUAUUUGUUAUCUGGGUUUAGUUUAAUUCAUUUCGAAAAUGAGCCUAAUUUGAUGUUUAACCUUGACUUGUUUAAAUAAACGAAUAAGUCGAACUCAAACCUAUGCUAGCAUAGCAAAAUCAAGCUCAUGUGCAUCGCGGUUCGUUUAAUAGCUCUAAACAAAAAUAAUAGUUAACCAUCUUUCUUAACAAGAAGUUAAUAUGUGACACUGGUUUACCGCAAUAAACUUUUAACGGGACAUUCGCUUUUGAAUUUUUAUGCCCGGGCGUUUACAAGUCACGAUAUCCUCCAUUAAAUUAUCGGUGUUUCAACUCCACAUCAAUCCGUUGUAGUCUAGAUGGUUAGGAUAUUCGGCUCUCACCCGAAAGACCCGGGUUCGAGUCCCGGCAACGGAAUUUUUGCGUUUUUUUUGCGUUUUCGACACGAUCGAAUCAAGCUUCAAGACUUCAACUAAACACACAGUAUAGGAUUGUAUUAAGCGCCUCUUAGAGCUACCUGAGACGCACCCGAAAGCUAGAAAGUAGCAAAAUCAGCUGCAGCAGCUAGAAGGAGAGGAAUACAUGCUCAUUAUAAGUAGAUGCUUAUAUCUCAUUCCAAUCAAAUAUAGUGGCUUGCCAUAUGUUAAUUAGACAGUGGGGGUUUGUCGAAAGACAAAAACCAGCCGUUUCUUGAAGUAUUCCUCAAAUUCCUAAGAGGAACGGCUAUAGGCCUACAAAUAUUACUGCAUCAGCUGAGCAAUGAGGAAAGAGGACGGUAGGGAGGGAGGGAAGGGGAUGAUGAGCGUCUCCUCUCUAUGGGCUGUGCCGUUGAAGGGGAAUUUAAAGCAAGCCAAAAGUGAUACUGUACAUCACAAUUCAAUAAAUUGGUUGCCAUUGAUUUGAACUGCUGCAGCUGGUAUGCUUUUUCUUCAAAUAACAUGUCAUGGCUCUUCUAUGGUACCAUUUGAGUACUCGUAACCAGCCACAUGGGAGGUUCCAUUUGAUAAUCGGUUCAUGCUAUUGGAAUUUGAGGAAGGGGAAUGGUUGGAAAGAGGGUUGCCUCGUGAGUACCGGUUCUGUGCAGCAGUGCUACUUCUUGUGGCCUUGAGACGUGCUUUUCUGCCCUGCAGCCAUGAAGUGCAUUUUAAGAUGGACUAUAAUUUCAAGAAUUAAUAUAGAAAACUAAAAACUAGCCACCCAGGUCAAACAGAUAAAAACUUGGAAAACAUAUGGCAACCAAAACAAGAUGGCCAGAUCAAUACAUUAAUGAAUUUAGCUUGAAUUGAUUUGAUAAGAGAUCAUAAUAGAACUUGAAGGACUACCUUUCCCAUGCACUUUUCCAGAUGAGGAGCAAAACGUCCAGCCAUAAUUGAUCGGCCACAAUUCAUGCAAUCAAAUAUUUCAUUAGCUACAGGAGGAUGUGUUUGUCCAAAUAUAUCAAGCACAUAUUUGCUAGUCGUUUCACCACUACUACUAGGGUCUGCUACCCUGGCUCGAGCCUGUGCUGAUAACCUCAGUUCUUCUUCCUCGUCAUCUAAACUACGAUCAAGUCCCAAUCUUGCUAUUCGGUGACAUUCAGAUGCAACAUCAACAAUAAUAGAAUCCAGAAGUUCUCCAAAAAAUUGAGAUGAAAGCUGCCAAUGCAACCAAAAACAAGCUAGCCAUUAGUAUCACAUCACCUAAAUCUUGCAUAUCUAGGCAUUUAAUUGGAAAACUAAGAGCAAAUAGAGCAAGGACAAACAAGUAAUGGGAUCUCGUUCGCAUAAAACAACAUUUCCUGCUAAAUGCAUGUAUAUUGCGCAAGCUCGGAUUUAGACGUCUUCACUAGCAAAUAUGCAUAAACGGAUACAUACAACCCCAUCAAGUCAUCAACGAGCACUUAGUCAUAACUUAAAAGGUGGGAGAAUGUAGCACAGGAAUGAAGGAAGGAAAUAGGUGUCAAAACAAUACCAUUAAAAGAGUUGAUGAGGAAGUCAGACCAUUCCAUUAAAUCUAAACGAAUCAAGAGAUGGGGGAAGAAUUACAUCCAUUAGCAACAUCAUACUAAAAGUAGAAUUCAAUAUGGACCAUAGUUACCUGAGAAUGAGAAGACAGAUUAUCCUCAUUUGGUGCUGCCAUGAUCUGCCCAGAGCUCUUGUCCUACUAUCCUAUAUCCUAUCAAGAAACAUUCAAUAAAUUAAAAAAAAAAUAGAGAGAGAGAAAGAGAAAAGCUUCAGCUGGUUUAUGUCAUAAAGUUAGGUUGGCUAACAAAAGGGGGGCAAAAAAAUGCUGAAUCAAGUGGAAACCGAGUUUACCCGAAACUACAAAUUAGGGAUAACAGAAAAUCUAGGGCAACUAUGAAUAUAGGAAGAAACAAAAAGACAGAAAAGGUGAAAACAGAAGCCAUAAUCACCUAUUUAACAAUCCUUCCGAGAAAAUUUACUUUUCGGAAAGAGAUGUUCCAAGGGUACUGGAUAAACAAUAAGCAAUGAUAAUCAUCAACUCAGAACUGAAUUAAGAUUUCCAUACGUGCUUGAAUUUUAUGUUCUUAUUUCUAAAAGCGAAGAAUUAUAAAGCAGUAAUUGGAAAACAAAAUUCCAGUUUCGUGAAAGGAAUACUUACAAAUCAAUACGGCGUCGUGUCUAGCUUAUGAGUUCGGGGUGAGGAUGGUAGGGAUUGCUGGCACCUCUUUUACCCCGGGACCGAAGCAAGGGGUCGUGGAUUUGGAAAUGUAUACGGCGUCGUUCUAGUGUAUGAAGUCCUCCUUGUUCCACGCAACGACGCGUAACACGUUAUCUUAAUAUUCGUGCUUGAUAAUAGUUGCAUUGACGUGAUUUACUGCCUUUUUUUUUUUUUUUGGUAAGACAAGUUUAGUUUGGAUCAUUACCACGGAUUAGAACAUACUUCUAAAACAUAAGCCGCUUGUAGAUAUUUUUAUAGAUCCCUCGUCGACACAACUCUCACAUCGAUCGCGAACACAUAACUUUUUCUUAGUAAAUAAUUCUUUCUUAUUAAUUGAAUCAAUUUAUGUUGACACCUAAUUUUCUUUCCUAGGGUCUCAUCUUCACAAUUGCUCCUUAGAGAUGGCAAAUGGACAGAGUGGAUAGGAUUUAUGUGGGACUCAAAUAAAAUUGAAAAAUAUGGACAUUUUCUCAAACAGUCUGGUAAGGAAGAGGUAGACUUGUUAAAAUAUGAGAGUUAUUUUUGGUUUAAAAUAAUUACAAAUUUCUUUUUGAUAGAGAAAAAUUAUUUAAGUUCAAAAAUAAUAGGUUUGGAAUCUACAUUGGGACCCAAAAACAAACUUGUGAGUUUGUGUAGCAAACUGCAUGCUCCAUAUAUGCGCAGUGAAUUUAAACAGCACCUAAGGGACUUCCUACUUGUAGAAGGGCCUCACAAGUGAAUGAAUUAUAUUAAUGUGUAAAUACAAUAUAGAUAGCGUAUAAAUGAGUUGCAGUAUAAUAUAAAAAAAAAAAACUUAAAAUGAUCAUUUCAUCUUGAGAUACAGCGAAAUGAAACUUGUGGUCUUCGAAUCUUAUCUAUUUAACCCCUCAAGAUAAUUAUGAUUUUUUUUUUUUUUUUUGUAUAAAGGACUCAGCUAGGCAAGUCAACGAGGCAGGGUGGCUUGGAUCCUUUUAAUCUAGAUCCAAAUGCAUUAAAUUUAAUUAGAUUCAGACCUAAACCCUAAUGGAUUUUAGUAUCCAAUUGGUAUUCAUAGAUAUUUUUUUGAACAACAAAAGUAAAAAUAUUUUGACAAUAUAUGCAGUUCAAAAAUAAUAUAAAUACCAUCCAAUGUUUAUUUUCAAAUAAUAAAAUUAACAUUCAAGUUGUUGAAUGUAAUAUUAUGAAUUCAAAAAAGAACCAAUCAACUAAAACUCUUUAUUUUCAGAGAUUCAUCUACAUCUAUAUUUAAUCUUUCAUUUGUUUGCUUCUAUUUUUCUCCUUUUCUUGAAAAGAUUUGUACCAAAUAUAGAAUAUUAGAUUAUUUAAUAAAUUUACUAAUACAUAUAUUUUAUUAAAUAUAUAUUAAAUUAUUUACUGAUAUAUAUAUAUUUAAUUUUUUGUUUAUACAUGAGUUUUGGUAGGGUUUGGUUUGAAUCUGGAUCAUUAAAAAUUAGAUCUUAUCCAGACCCAUGACUGUUUUACAGGAUCUGAAUUUGGGUAGGUUUGAGUUUAAUUUAAAUCUUAUCCAAAUAUAUUUGAUGUAAAUAAAAUUUGACCAAUUGAUAUGUCUAAACUCAACGUUCAAUAAUGAUUGCAUUAUUUCUCAAUAUUCCGCAAUCGGGACAAUAAUGGUUGAAGUGCCCAAUUUGUUUUAUGAGUAUUUAAGUAGUGAAGAAGUCAAAGAAAGGAUUGGAUUAGGUGACAAAAUGCAAAGGAUCACGAGUAAGAGGUUCCAAAUUUAAAACUAUUCAUGAAAAAAAGAAAAAAAGAAAAAAAGAAAAGUGAAGAAGCCACGUUUAGGUGCUUCUCCCGUAAAUGAGAAACUGAAAAGCAGCCCGAAACGGAAAUCAUCAUCAAUCCAUUUGUUCUUUUCCCCUCUGAAUUUUGAUGGUCUAACGACCGAUCUUCGAUAGGUUGUGGCUAGAGUUGCAAACGAGUCGAGUCGAGUCGAGUUUUGAACUAAUCGAGUCGAGAUCCCAUUUACGGUUUCAGAAUUCAGAGUUAAUUACAUUUCCAUCAUUUGCUUUCGAAGUUUUUUUUAUGCUUGUUUGUGUCUCUGCUUCAGAUAUCACAGGCCAGUGGAUCCCAGCACAUUUUGCUAUGUGCUUGAAACAACUUCUUAUUUGGUCCUAUUAAUUUAAGAAACAUCCAGUGCUUUUUAAGGUAUACAGGCAUGGUAGAAUGUAUAUCCCCUGCCGAAUUUGUGACUUUAGAACUAAAGCUCCAUUUUUACCAUUGCCUAUGAUGGCUUUUGAAACUAGUGCAGAACUUGAAAACUAGAAUCUCCCAGAACAUGUGUAUUUCGUUUACAGAUUGGUAGGGUUUCUGGUGAGAAUUUUGCAGGCCAUUUUACUUAUUUCAAUUUUAUCUUGGAAUAUGAUCAUGUUUUAAUCUCUACGUUCUUCUAUUAUGCAUGAAUUUCAGCCUUUGGCUUUGUCUUGCAAUGUAGGUAAAAGGUGAAGUACAUGGCUGGUAGAUGUUCAAGUGCCCUGUAAAUGAGAAAAUCUACUCCUUCAGAUUUUCUCUAUCCUUUUCUUGUGCAGUACAUUUCAAGAGAUGAUUUUGCAAGCAAAUGAGAAAAUGCAAUAGUAGACAGUUUACACUAAGGGUAUGUUUGGUUCCCCAUGGAAUUGGGGUUUAGAAUUGGAAUUGGGUCCUAAAUUCCAAAUCUGUUGUUUGGAUACUGCUUCGCUCACAGAAUUAGAAUUGAAUCUGAAUUCUAUAGAAACCUAAUUCCAUGAAUUGAAUUCUUUACCGGAACAAAAGAAUUCUAAUUCCAAUUCCACAACUAAGCGGGUCAUACGCGGAUCUAGUAUGGAUCAAAAAUUAAAAUUGGGUCAAGGAUAUUGGCACCCCUCUCUUCCUAUCUAACUCACCGUGUUUCCUCAGCUGCUAGUGCUCUGCUCUCCACCAUCACUUCCACCUGCAACCCUAAUAUUAUCGUAUUAGAGAAGUGGACGGUAGAGAAAGGAGCCAUUAUGGCUAAAUCUUUCUAGUCUUGAGAUUCACUACUGUCAAAGAUUAACCAUGAUUCCGGCCCGAGGGAUUGAGGUUCAUUGGUUCACUCAAAAAGUGUUGGCAAUCCGUGAAGAAUUUCAGAACAGGGUUCGAGGAGAGGAUUUCGACAAAAUCUGCCACAAUAUUCCUUCAGUAAGGAUCCUUCCACCUCUAAAUCGUAUUUUGAUACAGAUAUGUCUUGAACAAAAGCUUUAAUUCUGGAAGCCUUUCAUUCAGUGAUGUAUUUUUCUCCGCCUUCUUCUAUUUCCCAUUGUUUUUGUUUAACUCCAUUUUAUAGCUUCAUAUAUCAGAAUAUAUAGUGAGUACUACACUUUUUAUCAUUUACCUGCUCCUUCCUUCCUACUCGAAUCCAUGUUCUGAAUACUGUGAGAUCCAAGCUGCUUUUCGUAUUUACUACUGCAGAUGAUGCCAAAGAAUCUGUAAAGAAGGGAAUUCGCUUGAGGUGAAAACCUUCUGAAGUUUUUUGACCAUGGGCUUAUUUUUUGCUUAUCUCUGCUGCAGAUUGCUGUUAGUUAUCUUGAUAAUUGAUAUUUUAACCUUUCUGGUCAAGUUGUGCAUUUCUUAAUGAUUGAAGGCCUGCUUUUGUUUCUGCUUCCUCUCACUAAUUUGUUCUAUUGUGACUGGAGUGGGUUUGAAUUCAGUUAGUUAAAUUGAGUCCAAGUUGCUUCCUCUCACUAAUUGAAUUGAGGGUUGAUAUCAAAGUGGGUGGCAUAUGAUUCUAGGUAGUCAAUGAAUUGUUUCUUGGUGGCGUAAUCAGGGUAAUAAUCAGGGAAGGGGAACUUAUUAGCUAUCCCGAAUAACAAGACAGAAAUGAAACCAUAUCCAUUUUAUCUUUCAUAUCCAUUUCUGUUCAGGUGGACUCGUUCUAGUUUUGUUUGGCUCAUUUCUUGUCUUGUUCAUCAGAUGUCUAAUGACAAAAGAAGUUCCUUUGCACCUGUUUCUCUGGCUCAGUAUAUCUGAUGCUGUCUUCCAUACAAACAAAAACUUGGUCCUUAAAUUAAUCCAGGAUCAAUAGAAUCUUCCCUUGUACUACUAUUAUAUAUCAUUUGUCUAAAUUAUACUACUGCUUCAUAUGGAUUGCUGGUGGUAGUAUUUUAGCUUCACUCUGAUGGAUUUUCUGAAAAAGUUUAAAUGAAUCAGAAAUAAGAAAUUUUUGGGUUCAAUUCCACCAGAAUUUGGUUUAUUUCUUGGUCGGAAUUCUGAAUUUUUACUGGAUUGUUACUGGAAAUGAUGGAAUUGAUGACCCACCCCACUAGUUACAAUAUGAUGUAGUUUUGCAGCAUGAUAUUUAUACCAGUUUUCUUCAUUGAAAGUGGUACUGAAUUCAAGAGAACCAAUAGUGCAGCAAACUUUGGCUACCUGACAAUAACUCCGUACAACCAUAUAAAAAUGUUGAUAGUUUUCUAGAAACUAAUUAAGUUUCAGCUUUUGUUGGUGGCUGGAAGAUUCUCCACAGGCUUUUGCUGAUGAAGGUGGAGUUCUCCACAGGCUGCAGGAAGACUUGGCUUUUGGUGAAGGUGGUAGCGCAGAAGUUGUCCCCAAGGUGCUUGCAUCUCCAUGUAGGAGGAGGAGAGGUCUGCCUGACAAAUUUGCUGCAACAUAUCAAAAAGAUUAGUAGAGAAAAUAUAAUUUCUGCACGUAGUCCCUUUGGAUGAUUAUAGUUAAGUGGGGAACAAUUUAUAGCAUUUCUUGGGAUCUAAUGGUUUUUUUUAAAUUGCUUUGCAUUCUUUCUCAAAAUUAAGGAGCUUUUGUAUAAGUGCUCUUCCUGUAUUCUAUUUAGCAAGUACUUGACUGUGUGUGAAUAGGUCAUCUGACAGUCUUAAGUUUUGUAUUUUCCAACAUCUCCUCCAAAGAAGCUGGUAAAUAUUAGUACAAAGGUUCGGUCGUGUAUUUAUCAUAUUGUGUUACAAAACAAGAAGCCUCGGGAAUUUGUCUUCAUGAUUGAGAUCUAUUCUACAUUUUUUCAUUUUGUGGUGCACAGUUCUUUAUUCGGUAGAGUCAUAAAUUUUACCCUACUCGAUUAUCACCAAAAAAGUCAAUUUGUAUAUUUUGUCUUCUUUUUCACUAUUUUCUUGGGUCAGGUAAUUUGUGAGUAAUUAACUGUCCGGUAUUCUACCAUGUUUUAAGAAAUAUGCUAGUGUCAUUGGGGAUUUACUUUUACGGGGUUGAGGUCCAGUUUUGGUUGGAUGCCAAUAUCUAUACCAUACGUUGAACAAAAGAAGGCAGUCAGAUUGACAUGUCUCGCUAAUGCUGUGCUUAGCACAACCUACGUCUGGAAAUGGUCACCAAAGAAAUUGAUACAAGAGUGGGAAAAAAUAAAUUAUUAAAGGCGCAAAUUGGUUUUUACUUUUAAAUCUUUAGUAAAAAUUAGCUAAAUAUAAAGAAAAAAAAUUAUUAUAUAGAAAAAAGAAAAAAAGAAAAAUUUUAUGUAAGUAAAUGUUUCAUGAAAACAAUUCUAAUUCCUAAUGAAUUCUUCUCUCAUGCAAACAAAGGAUUUGGAAUUCCAAAUAAAUUCCGUAUCAAUUCUAUGCAUUUCCCAAACGAAAGAAUUGGAAUGACUUGGAAUUCCAAUUCAUAGAAUUCUAAUUCUAUAGAAUUUCAAUUCUAAUUCAAUUCUAAUUCUAUAAAACCAAACGCACCCUAAAAGGUUUCAGUCGAAUGCAACUGUAUUCUAGUCUCUAGUUGUCAAAUUUGGUGUUGCUAUGUGUGACUGUCAGAAAUUUAUACAGCAGACCCUGCACAUCGGACAUCCAUUAUUUCGCUUUUGCUCAAUUUUUUGGUGGCAUCCUUUGUCAAAGUGAAUUUAUAAAUUUUAACCCGCCGUCUCGCUGUCUGGUUCCAGGAAACCUUCAAGGAAAAAGAAAGUUACUCCAUUAGAAACAGUGAUGUGUUACAUUGGUAAAUAUUAGCUGUCAAAGUCAAUGACAAAUAUGUAACAUAUCAUUGAUAAACCAAACAAAAAGUAGAGUUGUUAACACGUCAAGUCGAGUUUUUGGCUUUUGAGCUCAGCUCAUUAAGUUGUCAAGCCGAAUUUGAGUGUGGCUGGAUUAUUCAACAAGUCAAAAAUUGUAUUCAGACUCGAUUUAUUAAAAAAAUUUCGACCUGUAUGAUACAAAUGAAUCAAGUUUGAGCUUGAGAAAGUUAAAAUGUGUUUGAAUAUCUUAUACAAUAUUAAAUGGCUUUUGAGCUCAGCGCAUUAAGUUGUCAAGCCGAAUUUGAGUGUGACUGGAUUAUUCAACAAGUCAAAAAUUGUAUUCAGACUCGACUUAUUAAAAAAAUUUCGACCUGUAUGAUACAAAUGAAUCAACUUUGAGCUUGAGAAAGUUAAAAUGUGUUUGAAUAUCUUAUACAAUAUUAAAAAAUUAACCAAUUUAAUUAACCUAUUAAUUGAGAAAAAUUUCUCAAAAUGUAAGAUGUUCGGUUCCAAAAUUUUUUUUUUAAAGACUAAAUCCUAAACAAUCAAGAGAAUCUAAUUCUACAUAAUUAUUAAGAAAAAUUAGACACACUAAAUUGAAUAAAUAUAUAAAUGAGCCUAAAUAAACAUAAAUGAACUAUUUGUUAUCUGGGUUUAGUUUAAUUCAUUUCGAAAAUGAGCCUAAUUUGAUGUUUAACCUUGACUUGUUUAAAUAAACGAAUAAGUCGAACUCAAACUAUGCUAGCAUAGCAAAAUCAAGCUCAUGUGCAUCGCGGUUCGUUUAAUAGCUCUAAACAAAAAUAAUAGUUAACCAUCUUUCUUAACAAGAAGUUAAUAUGUGACACUGGUUUACCGCAAUAAACUUUUAACGGGACAUUCGCUUUUGAAUUUUUAUGCCCGGGCGUUUACAAGUCACGAUAUCCUCCAUUAAAUUAUCGGUGUUUCAACUCCACAUCAAUCCGUUGUAGUCUAGAUGGUUAGGAUAUUCGGCUCUCACCCGAAAGACCGGGUUCGAGUCCCGGCAACGGAAUUUUUGCGUUUUUUUUGCGUUUUCGACACGAUCGAAUCAAGCUUCAAGACUUCAACUAAACACACAGUAUAGGAUUGUAUUAAGCGCCUCUUAGAGCUACCUGAGACGCACCCGAAAGCUAGAAAGUAGCAAAAUCAGCUGCAGCAGCUAGAAGGAGAGGAAUACAUGCUCAUUAUAAGUAGAUGCUUAUAUCUCAUUCCAAUCAAAUAUAGUGGCUUGCCAUAUGUUAAUUAGACAGUGGGGGUUUGUCGAAAGACAAAAACCAGCCGUUUCUUGAAGUAUUCCUCAAAUUCCUAAGAGGAACGGCUAUAGGCCUACAAAUAUUACUGCAUCAGCUGAGCAAUGAGGAAAGAGGACGGUAGGGAGGGAGGAAGGGGAUGAUGAGCGUCUCCUCUCUAUGGGCUGUGCCGUUGAAGGGGAAUUUAAAGCAAGCCAAAAGUGAUACUGUACAUCACAAUUCAAUAAAUUGGUUGCCAUUGAUUUGAACUGCUGCAGCUGGUAUGCUUUUUCUUCAAAUAACAUGUCAUGGCUCUUCUAUGGUACCAUUUGAGUACUCGUAACCAGCCACAUGGGAGGUUCCAUUUGAUAAUCGGUUCAUGCUAUUGGAAUUUGAGGAAGGGGAAUGGUUGGAAAGAGGGUUGCCUCGUGAGUACCGGUUCUGUGCAGCAGUGCUACUUCUUGUGGCCUUGAGACGUGCUUUUCUGCCCUGCAGCCAUGAAGUGCAUUUUAAGAUGGACUAUAAUUUCAAGAAUUAAUAUAGAAAACUAAAAACUAGCCACCCAGGUCAAACAGAUAAAAACUUGGAAAACAUAUGGCAACCAAAACAAGAUGGCCAGAUCAAUACAUUAAUGAAUUUAGCUUGAAUUGAUUUGAUAAGAGAUCAUAAUAGAACUUGAAGGACUACCUUUCCCAUGCACUUUUCCAGAUGAGGAGCAAAACGUCCAGCCAUAAUUGAUCGGCCACAAUUCAUGCAAUCAAAUAUUUCAUUAGCUACAGGAGGAUGUGUUUGUCCAAAUAUAUCAAGCACAUAUUUGCUAGUCGUUUCACCACUACUACUAGGGUCUGCUACCCGGGCUCGAGCCUGUGCUGAUAACCUCAGUUCUUCUUCCUCGUCAUCUAAACUACGAUCAAGUCCCAAUCUUGCUAUUCGGUGACAUUCAGAUGCAACAUCAACAAUAAUAGAAUCCAGAAGUUCUCCAAAAAAUUGAGAUGAAAGCUGCCAAUGCAACCAAAAACAAGCUAGCCAUUAGUAUCACAUCACCUAAAUCUUGCAUAUCUAGGCAUUUAAUUGGAAAACUAAGAGCAAAUAGAGCAAGGACAAACAAGUAAUGGGAUCUCGUUCGCAUAAAACAACAUUUCCUGCUAAAUGCAUGUAUAUUGCGCAAGCUCGGAUUUAGACGUCUUCACUAGCAAAUAUGCAUAAACGGAUACAUACAACCCCAUCAAGUCAUCAACGAGCACUUAGUCAUAACUUAAAAGGUGGGAGAAUGUAGCACAGGAAUGAAGGAAGGAAAUAGGUGUCAAAACAAUACCAUUAAAAGAGUUGAUGAGGAAGUCAGACCAUUCCAUUAAAUCUAAACGAAUCAAGAGAUGGGGGAAGAAUUACAUCCAUUAGCAACAUCAUACUAAAAGUAGAAUUCAAUAUGGACCAUAGUUACCUGAGAAUGAGAAGACAGAUUAUCCUCAUUUGGUGCUGCCAUGAUCUGCCCAGAGCUCUUGUCCUACUAUCCUAUAUCCUAUCAAGAAACAUUCAAUAAAUUAAAAAAAAAAAAAAAGAGAGAGAGAGAUAGAGAGAGAAAAGCUUCAGCUGGUUUAUGUCAUAAAGUUAGGUUGGCUAACAAAAGGGGGGCAAAAAAAUGCUGAAUCCAGUGGAAACCGAGUUUACCCGAAACCACAAAUUAGGGAUAACAGAAAAUCUAGGGCAACUAUGAAUAUAGGAAGAAACAAAAAGACAGAAAAGGUGAAAACAGAAGCCAUAAUCACCUAUUUAACAAUCCUUCGAGAAAAUUUACUUUUCGGAAAGAGAUGUUCCAAGGGUACUGGAUAAACAAUAAGCAAUGAUAAUCAUCAACUCAGAACUGAAUUAAGAUUUCCAUACGUGCUUGAAUUUUAUGUUCUUAUUUCUAAAAGCGAAGAAUUAUAAAGCAGUAAUUGGAAAACAAAAUUCCAGUUUCGUGAAAGGAAUACUUACAAAUCAAUACGGCGUCGUGUCUAGCUUAUGAGUUCGGGGUGAGGAUGGUAGGGAUUGCUGGCACCUCUUUUACCCCGGGACCGAAGCAAGGGGUCGUGGAUUUGGAAAUGUAUACGGCGUCGUUCUAGUGUAUGAAGUCCUCCUUGUUCCACGCAACGACGCGUAACACGUUAUCUUAAUAUUCGUGCUUGAUAAUAGUUGCAUUGACGUGAUUUACUGCCUUUUUUUUGGUAAGACAAGUUUAGUUUGGAUCAUUACCACGGAUUAGAACAUACUUCUAAAACAUAAGCCGCUUGUAGAUAUUUUUAUAGAUCACUCAUCGACAUAACUUUCACAUCGGUCGCGAACACAUAACUUUUUCUUAGUAAAUAAUCAUUUCUUAUUAAUUGAAUUAAUUUAUGUUGACACCUAAUUUUCUUUCCUAGGGUCUCAUCUUCACAAUUGCUCCUUAGAGAUGGCAAAUGGACAGAGUGGAUAGGAUUUAUGUGGGACUCAAAUAAAAUUGAAAAAUAUGGACAUUUUCUCAAACAGUCUGGUAAGGAAGAGGUAGACUUGUUAAAAUAUGAGAGUUAUUUUUGGUUUAAAAUAAUUACAAAUUUCUUUUUGAUAGAGAAAAAUUAUUUAAGUUCAAAAAUAAUAGGUUUGGAAUCUACAUUGGGACCCAAAAACAAACUUGUGAGUUUGUGUAGCAAACUGCAUGCUCCAUAUAUGCGCAGUGAAUUUAAACAGCACCUAAGGGACUUCCUACUUGUAGAAGGGCCUCACAAGUGAAUGAAUUAUAUUAAUGUGUAAAUACAAUAUAGAUAGCGUAUAAAUGAGUUGCAGUAUAAUAAAAAAAAAAACUUAAAAUGAUCAUUUCAUCUUGAGAUACAGCGAAAUGAAACUUGUGGUCUUCGAAUCUUAUCUAUUUAACCCCUCAAGAUAAUUAUGAUUUUUUUUUUUUUUUUGUAUAAAGGACUCAGCUAGGCAAGCAGGCUCAACGAGGCAGGGUGGCUUGGAUCCUUUUAAUCUAGAUCCAAAUGCAUUAAAUUUAAUUAGAUUCAGACCUAAACCCUAAUGGAUUUUAGUAUCCAAUUGGUAUUCAUAGAUAUUUUUUUGAACAACAAAAGUAAAAAUAUUUUGACAAUAUAUGCAGUUCAAAAAUAAUAUAAAUACCAUCCAAUGUUUAUUUUCAAAUAAUAAAAUUAACAUUCAAGUUGUUGAAUGUAAUAUUAUGAAUUCAAAAAAGAACCAAUCAACUAAAACUCUUUAUUUUCAGAGAUUCAUCUACAUCUAUAUUUAAUCUUUCAUUUGUUUGCUUCUAUUUUUCUCCUUUUCUUGAAAAGAUUUGUACCAAAUAUAGAAUAUUAGAUUAUUUAAUAAAUUUACUAAUACAUAUAUUUUAUUAAAUAUAUAUUAAAUUAUUUACUGAUAUAUAUAUAUUUAAUUUUUUGUUUAUACAUGAGUUUUGGUAGGGUUUGGUUUGAAUCUGGAUCAUUAAAAAUUAGAUUUUAUCCAGACCCAUGACUGUUUUACAGGAUCUGAAUUUGGGUAGGUUUGAGUUUAAUUUAAAUCUUAUCCAAAUAUAUUUGAUGUAAAUAAAAUUUGACCAAUUGAUAUGUCUAAACUCAACGUUCAAUAAUGAUUGCAUUAUUUCUCAAUAUUCCGCAAUCGGGACAAUAAUGGUUGAAGUGCCCAAUUUGUUUUAUGAGUAUUUAAGUAGUGAAGAAGUCAAAGAAAGGAUUGGAUUAGGUGAUAAAAUACAAAGGAUCAUGAGUAAGAGGUUCCAAAUUUAAAACUAUUCAUGAAAAAAAGAAAAGUGAAGAAGCCACGUUUAGGUGCUUCUCCCGUAAAUGAGAAACUGAAAAGCAGCCCGAAACGGAAAUCAUCAUCAAUCCAUUUGUUCUUUUCCCCUCUGAAUUUUGAUGGUCUAACGACCGAUCUUCGAUAGGUUGUGGCUAGGGCUGCAAACGAGCCGAGUCGAGUUGAGUUUUGAGCUAAUCGAGCCGAGUCGAGAGUUUUGAGCUAAUCGAGCCGAGUCUCGACUAAAUUUUACCAAACUCGAGUUCGAGCUCGAGCUCGACGAGCCGGCAAAUUUCGAGCUCGAGCUCGAAAAAAAAUAAAAAAAUUAUUUUAUUUAAAAAAAAUAAAAUAAUAUUAUUUUCUUAAUAAAUAAUAAAAUAUUAAGGAUAUAUAUGUAAUUUUACUAUGAAAAUAAAAAAUAAAAAAAUAUAUAUAUAAUAUACGUAAUUUUAUUAUUAAAUAAAAAAAUAAAAAAAAAUAUAUAUAUACCCAAGCUCGCGAGUCUAACAAGUUUAAUAUUCUGAGUUUGAGCUCGAACUCGACUCGAGCUUGACUCGAGCCGCUCGAUUCGUUUGCCGUCUUAGUUGUGGCCUGUGAGGUCUGAUAGGGGAAAUGCCAGUAGUAUUUCCAAACUGAAGAAUUUUCUAUGGCUUUCAAUCUUCUCAGGAUUUGGGAGUUUGCAGCUACUUCAUUUACUUCCUUACUUUUUGGCGUCAUUUCAGAUACUUUUCCUCCAAAAAAAGAAGGAAAAAAAAAAGAUGAAAAACUUCGAAAUAUGACACAAACAAUAAAUAUAACAAUGUUUAGGGAAAAAAAAAAAAAAAACUUGGCAUUGGAAAGAGGUACAAGACGAACAAUGAAAAAAGACAAGUGAGGGAAACGAUAUAUAGAUUAAAAAUAAAACGAGAAUAAAAGUCCGCAUGAGUCCCAACUAAACGUCGCGUACACAUAUUUCUUUUUCAGCCAUAGACAGUGACCCUAUCAUAGCUAUUCUACAGUGUCCUCUCCAAAACUAUCCAAGAAAUGGAGAAAGCAGCAUUGACAGGGAGUUGGGAAGCAAGCAGCCUGCAAUCAUCACCUGCCAGUCUUCCUCCUAAUUGCAGCCCACAAAUAGGAGGAGGAGGAGAUGAUACUCAGCUUCACUUCACCGGUGACCGACAGUACUUCAUGCAUGGCGAGAUUAUUGCUUUCACAGCUAUCAGUGUAUUUGUUAUCUUCUUUCUCUUCCUCAUCUUCCCUUGGAUUAGGCGAACCACCGGUUCAGCACCCACUGCAGAUUCGACUCUGGAAAUAACAACAACUCUCUUCCAGUACUGGAACCAAAUGAUGAUCAGAAGAAUAAUACCCUAAUGGGUCGCCUAGAUUAACAUUGACCGGAGUUCUUCGUCCAGAUUUUCUUUAUCUGCUGCCGCUUUCAAAAUAUCACUAGUAGUAGAUUGGCAAGAAUUCAGAUCAAGAUCGAGCCGGCCCCGCCAUGUUUAUACAUCUCAUUUCUCAAAGAGUCAAGAUGGAUACAGCUUCCGUGUAUAACAUCGUGGCCGUUCAUUCAUAUUAUUUAAGUUCAAUUUCUUAGACAAUCUCAUUUGGAAGUCGAAACUUUUUUGUAGAAGUUUCGAAUUUGGUUUCCAAUAUUAAUUUCUUUGAUGAUUUUAAUGUCUGGGUGGUUACAAUGUUGGUGCCUCAUGAUGGCUUUUCCAGUGUGAAAUUUUGUCGGACCAAAACUUGAACUGAAGCAUAGAGCUAAACAUAUUUUGUUCCACUUGUUAGUCGUUGCACACUUUCUACGUAUUCACAUCGCACGGUUAGAGUUUUUCUGCUUUCAGAUUUUUUUUUUUUUUUACUUUAUAGCUGUAACAAAUGUGCAGGUAAAAAAAACCUACAGCCUAAUCCGAAGUUUUGAGGUAGAAUUUCUGUCUUACAGCUAUAUACUCCAGGAAAAAGAAAAAGAAAAAGAAAAAGAGCAGUUCCGGACUAGCUUUCAUGCUCAAAGCCCAUAAAUCGAAGGAGACCGAACUUGGAACGAAAAAAUCAUCAGCUUUUAAAUUAAUUUAGCACCCAAUAGUCCGCGCAGAGGCCAUUUUCUAUGCCUCAAGCUUAAUGGAUCUUUAAUUUCUGGCCAUGUUUUAUGUGAGCUUAGCAAAUUGGAGUAUGAUAAAUUGUCAGCUAUUGGAUGCCUAGCGGUUGAACAUGAUUGCAAACUAACCACGAAAAAACGUAGCCAAACACGUCCGAGAAUGACCAUUUAGCAGGUGCUGUCCUUUUUGAUAUUAUGGCACUCAGCAAGGACUUCAGUUCUUGCCUGUUUUCGUUUGUCAAAAGAGAAGGGAAUAAUAAUGUAUUCCAUCAAUUGGCAAAGUUUGCCUUAAAAUUAGUUUCUGAGAUUGCUUGGAAGGAGUCUUUUCCAAGUUGGCUGAGUAGUAUAGCCAAAAUGGAUGUAGGGCCUUUGCUCCAAACCUUGUUUCUUCUGUUUUCAAGUAAUGCAAUUUUUAUCGUUUGGAAAAAGAAAAAAAAAAAAAAAAACACGUCGAGAAGAGAAGAGGACAAGUAAUCGACUCGAAUGGACGGGAGCUAGCCGGGAUUCUCGACGGUGCAGAGCUAGUUGUAAGACGUGAAUCGGUUUUCACAUGCACGUAAACGCUUUUCAAUGUGUCAAAACUUAGAUUAGGUAUAUCUGCUCUUCAAAGAUCAUCCAAUCAUUCAUCUCAUUUUUUGUUUCGCUGCCUGCAGCAGUUAGUAAGUAUUAAUACAGAUCAGUUUGUUAGCUUAGACUCUUUUAGAGAAUUUGCAGAUUGAAUUUAAAGAAAUUUUUUAAAAAAAAAGCUCGCAAAUCACAGUCGAUGAUUUUAUGACUGCACACUACAGAUCAAAUUAUUUUUAUUGAAUUUAAUCUUCCGUGUAAUAUUAAACUGUAAGUUCAAUGAAAAUAAUUUGAUCCGUGUGCAAUCAUAAAAUCAUCAGCUGAAUCGGAAGUCAGUUGUGCCACUAAUUUAAAAAGCGACGGUUGUUUAGGGGAUGGUGGAAUCCACGUGGAGGUCCCUUGCUGAAGCGAUCGAAUUGCAGCCCCAUCCUCAUGCAGAGUGAGGAGCGGAUCUGAAGCCCCAUCAGUUUCUUAUCCCACGCAACUAAGUUUGGCUGGACACGUUCAAACCAUCCUCAUCACCAGCGACUGCUGCAGCCAACAUCCACCCUACUCGAUUUUCACCGCUCACACCAUUUGGACCCUGGAAUCCAAAUCCUCAUUAGCCUUCCUUUUGACCUUAGUCCAAGAUCGACAAUAAUAUGUUUUGGUUAAAGCACAAAUGAAAAUCUAUAUCUAUAUCUAUAAAUGUAUUCAGGAAGGAGUUUUAACAAAAACCCUCUCAACAGUUUCUAAAUUUCUUAUCUUUUUUCUAGAAUUUUAUAUUUAUUUUAAUACAUAAAAAGUAGUUGGUAAUCAACCCUAUCACCAAUCAAAUUGACAUUCAAAAUAUUCCAACUAUCUCUUAACUCAUCCUACAACCACUCCUACAAAUCCUCUAAUCAUCAUCCCACGUUUAUCAAAUUGAAAUUUAAAAUAUUUCCACUAUCUCUUAACUCAUCCUACAACUACUCUUACAAAUCUUCUAAUCAUCAUCCCACAUUUCCCACUCCAAUUAAGAGUCCAUUGCAAUUUAACAAUUACACCCAAUUAAAACUCCUUCAAACAUAGAAUCCUCAUUCAAUUUCUUGCAUGCUCAUUCGUAUUUUUUAGUUAACCAAAACAAGAACCUAUUAUCUCUUUCAUCUUUCUUGUGGUGUCAAUCUUAGUCUUUAACUUAGUUUCAUUAUGGAAUAUGCCCGCCUACAAGCAUUUCAACAACAACUAAAUUUCAAACUUGCAAGAUUGCAAAUGUGAAAACAUUUGCUUAAAAAACGAAAUGUACGCCGCAAAGAUUCCACACACCAGUUGGAAAAGCUUCAACAAUUUUGCGCUGACGAAAGAGAAAUUUCAAAUCAAAUUCGAAAGACAAAAUUCAGGCUACACCGAUUAAAAUGUCGUUCACAUCAAAUUAAACAAAUGAUACUGUGUAUUCUUUAAAUAUUGGCAUUUCCAUUGUAAUAUUGGCAUUUCAAAUAUUAUUCCCAAUACUGUAAUAUUUUUUAUUAUUUUCGAUUAUUUCCAAUACUAUAAUAUGUCUAUAAUUUUUUCAACCUUUUUACUGAUCGAGUGAAUUCCCACACACUCUCUCACUUUCUUCUUUUUUUUGGUUCUCUAUUGAUUUUGUUUUUUUUUUUAGCAGUUAUGGAAGAGAUUAUGUGCAGAGAUUUCAACGGAAAUCAACCUUCUUGUAGAGAACGGGAAGUAUAUUUUUGCCAACUUAAUUUUUCGAGUCGGUCCCUUUUGCCCCUCCUUUUUGUCAUGUUUUGCUUUUCUUUUAAGGUGAUUUGGUCUUUACUUUCUUUAUUUUUUCUCCUUCAUAUUUUUGUCAACCUUCAUGUUUUACUUUCUUUUUGUCAUGUUUUACUUUCUUUAUUUUCUAGGUGGUGUUUGCUGCCGGAGUUUAUUGAAAAUUUCCAGCCCAACGAUUCAUUUAUGUAAACCACUUUAAACAGAGCGUAAAUAUAGAAUACAUUUUAGUUAGCUCCAAACAACACAUUGAAUUUGAUGUACAAGACAAAAUCUGAAUCUCACAGUAGUCUUUUUUGUUUUUCUUCAUUUUCUGUGGCCAAUCCUCACUUCCUCACCGUCAUCCUCGAGAAACGCUAACUUUUCCUGCUGCAAAUUCGUUACGUGAUUGAUAAAUUUCUCCCGUACCUAGGACCUCCAAGACUCCUGACUCAUCACCAUCAAAACCUUUUUGUCAUUUAAUGCGUCUGUCCUUUUACUUCUGGUCACGAAGAUGGUAAAAAAUCUCAUAUCUUGAACUGGCUUUUUUUUUUUUUUUUUAUCAAGACGAUAACUGUUAUAUAAUCUAUCCUACAUUGGAGGGGAGGAAAAGGCUAAAUAGAUUUAUAUUAGAAAUUAGCAAAUAUAUAAAUUUUACCAGAUCAAAGGAGUGUUCUGGCACUAUUCUUAAAUUUUUUCGCUUACCUGCAGCUCAAGAAGGGACUUAAGUCUCACUUGGUGGGCAUUGAACCAAGCUCAUAUCUUGAACUGACUGAAAUAGUAGACUUGAGGGAGACCGGGAGAGACCGUUGAACUGGCUAGUAUUGGUCAGUAAACAUUUCAUCCAUCUGAUGGCUUCCAUAGCAUGUAUUCUCAAAAUAUCCUCAAAGCCUAGGAAGUAUUUGACACGGCAGCAUUUUGCAGCGCAGAUUGUGUAUUCUCGAACAUCUUCAAGGACACCUGAGCAUUUGCAGCGGUGUCGUCUAUUGAGAGUGCGUGUGAUUCAAAAUGUGAACGGCAAUAAUAAUGUUGGAUAUCGGGACAGAAGGAUAGCUUUCAAAACAACCGGGCAACAACGACAAAGUUCAACUGGGACCUGAUCCAAAUAAUUUAGAAAAACUUUUUCAUCUGUGAUCACGGGGCUUUCAAAUCAUCAAGAAGUUGCGAUACAAACACUACCCUGUUUUUCAACUCGAAUUGGUACGUGAAUCGGUUCUCGUUUUACAGAUUUAACCAGUGAAGUUCAACCAGAUGGUUCACCGGUUUAUUGCUUUUCCUUUUCAUUUUUAUUUAUUUAUUUUUGUAAUCCUAAAACACACAUGGAAUUAAUUACAAAGAAACAGUUCUAAUUAAUGAAGAUCCUCAAGUGCAAAUGGUAAGACAUUACUCAAAACUCAUCAAAAAAACAAAAACAAAAAAAAAAGAAUUUCUGAAUCUCAUGUCUUAAAUUACAAUAACCAAAUAAAUUUUUGAAAUCUGAGUUGAGAAAUAGUAGAAAAAGAGCACUAUUUAAGAACAAAUUAAAAAAAAAUUGGGCCAAUUAGUCACCUUCAUCUUCUUCCUGUUCAAAUAAUUUCAAAUCAAUAUUUUCUUCAAUUCUAAGCAAAAUUAUCAUCUUCAUCUGAACGGGCCCAGUAAAAAUGCUAUAUCAUUUAACCAAAAUAAAAAAAUAAAAGAGAGAGAGAGAGAAAAAUGGAUCCAACUGGAAGAAAAGCACAAGGCUUGUAAACAAAUAGAGUGAGCAAUAAAAUGCCUUUCUUCAAAUGAUACCGAACAAAAAAGGAUAAAGCUACGUAGAUAAUAAAAAAAGAAAAAGAAGAAGAAGAUGUAAAUGAUGCUACAAGAACCGCUGAUGAAAUUAGCCCUAGAUUUGUUGGAUGCAUCGCAGCAUUCGUAGACGUUAGAAAGGAAUACGUCGUGAUCCAUGACAAGCAAGCGCCCAAAGGAGAAUGAUCAAUUAAGAUGUAUUUGGAAAUGGCCCAAUAAUCAGUAGGCCCAAAGUUGGUUUUUUGAGGUGUGUUUGGCAAUGGGCAGAUUAUCAAUAAAGCCCACAAUUGGACCAAUUUUUGGAGGAUGUUGCAGGUUCAACCGUUUCUUGCUGGUUCCACAGUUUUGACUGGUUUUUAUUCAUUUUCCGGCGUUUGUAUACAACCAGACUGGUGCAAUGGCCAGUUCCCGGUUGAACUGGCUGGUUUGGUACCGGUACUGUUUUAUACACACUGGACAUAAAUUGAACUGAGGAUACAUACCUCCAGGUUUUAACAGCAUUUCCCUGUUAAUAUCAACAAAGAUUUAGAAAACAAGAACUGCCACAAUAUAUCCUGCGAUUGAUCGCUAUGUAAAGCUACAUGAUGUUAUACAAGGAGUAACUAUCGGCUUCUUCUUUCCUCUUGCAUCAAAAAACAAAACUACCCACCAAAACAGAGGUUAGGGGAACUGUCAAAUUGUCAUCAAGCUCAGUGCUUAUAGGGUGGGAUUCAACUAAUGCAGCAACAAGAGAAACUACAAAGAACCUGUAUGCCAUU